rnacentral:rRNA from 1 species
UACAGAGGGUGCAAGCGUUGUUCGGAAUUAUUGGGCGUAAAGCGCGUGUAGGCGGCAGUGCAAGUCGGGUGUGAAAGCCCUCAGCUCAACUGAGGAAGUGCGCCCGAAACUGCAUUGCUUGAGUACCGGAGAGGAUGGCGGAAUUCCCGAAGUAGAGGUGAAAUUCGUAGAUAUCGGGAGGAACACCGGUGGCGAAGGCGGCCAUCUGGACGGAUACUGACGCUGAGACGCGAAAGCGUGGGUAGCGAACAGG